GGGCUGGUAGCUUAAUGGUAGAGCAUCUGACUACGGAUCAGAAGGUUGCAGGUUCAAGUCUUGUCCAGCUCG
rfam:Ichthyophthirius multifiliis unplaced genomic scaffold scaff_1120509250966, whole genome shotgun sequence.